AAUAGUCUUUAAAUAUUUUAUCCUAUCUUAGGUUCUUUCUGUGCAGUUUUACCAUCUUCCCUGAUGAUCUGGUCUCUUUUUAUCUUCUCAAUAUAAUUCUCCUCUUGAACUCAUAAGCCAACAGAAGGGAAUGGAGGUAAGUUUUCAAGAUGAAAUAAAGGAUGCUCAGUUAAGACUAAAUUUCAAUUAAAAAACAAAUUUUAGUCCUAGUAUGCUCCAUGCAAUCAAUAUUUUAUUUCAUUUUAUCUAAAAUUUAAAUUUAACUGGUUUCCAGGGUUUUUAUUUAUUAACCUGACAAUGCUAGAUGGAGAAAGAGUACUAGAUGGUAAUAUCAUUCCAAAGUUUUGCUCUUAUGUAAUGGUCCAACUUAUACCACUAAAGAGACAGUCAAAUCAAAGGAGAUUGUUAUACCAUAGUUGUGGGAAAAUGAAAUUACACAGCCUGAGGUUGUAUCCAUGAUUUUCAGUUCCUCAGAGAAUGUAGGUGCUGCUCUUUCCAGUGAACCAUUGGGAGAUGGGAAUAAUGAGGUUGAGUCUGGAGGUAAGUUACUGUUCAAAUGUUAUAGGCAAAGCUGAAAAAAAGUCAAAAGAAAGGACAUUUCUUAUUUUUACAUGGGACUUGAUUUUUAAUCAUCUGCACUUAAUAUGAAACAUAUAUACAUGUAUAUAGAUUAUUUUUAAAAAACUCGAAUCUGUUUACUUAUAGAUUUGUUUAAAAUAAAAUUGAUUAGAUACUUGAAAGGUUCAGUUAACAAGGAUAAUUAUUUUCAAAACCUUUCUCUCACUUCAUCCUCUUACUUUAGCAAAUUUUUUCUGGAAGUACGCCCUUUACUAUGUUUUUGUUACUUGGUAAUAUUACACAUUCAACAUUUACUUUUCUAUUUUAAUAUUUGCUCUGUUAUUAUUUAGUCCUCUCUGGUAUUGUCUUUAUUUGUCUGUGAGUAUUACAUUACAGGAUCUAUUUUGCACACUAAUUUGAUUACUACUAUAGAAAGUGUGCAUAAUUAAGUCAUAGAUCAUAAGCACAUUUUAUGUUUUAUCUGCUGUUUGACCCAACAAAACUGAUUGAAGAAACAGAGAAGACUCAGACUGUAUUCUGUGGUUGUUUCUUCAUUUUUGUAACUGUUGGAUUAUCUUGGGUGUGUUUAACUAGGAGAUAUAGAACUCUUACAUAGCCCUAUGUUUAAAAACUAACUAUUCAAGACAAUGAAAGUUUGAUAGAUUUCAUAGGGAUAUGCAAUCAUAUUAAAAUAGACUCAUGAUUAAAACAAUAAUUUUUGUAACUUGUAUUAUAUUGGGUGUGUUUAACUAGGAAAUAUAGAACUCUUACACAGCCCUAUGUUUAAAAACUAACUAUUCAGGACAAUGAAAGUUUGAUAGAUUUCAUAGGGAUAUGCAAUCAUAUUAAAAUAGACUCAUGAUUAAAACAAUAAUGAGAUACCAUUAUACAUAUUGGAAUGGCUAAGAUCCAGAAAAACAAACAAAAUAAAAACAAUGACAGUUGUUCUUGAAGAAGCAGAAAACGAGAAAGUUUAUUCAUUGCUUGACACAGCCAGUUUGGAAGACAGUUUGGCAUUGUUUACAAAGCUAAACUGUUUAAUCAUCUAAUCCAGCAAUUGGACUCCUAGGUAUGUACCUACCUGAUUUUAAAGUUUAUAAACACACAAAAUACUCAUGCAAGAAGUUUAUAGAAGGUUAAUAAUAAUCACCCCAAACUGGAAACAACCAAGAUGCCGUUCAAUAAGUUAAUGGAAAACUGUAGAAAUUCCAUAUAAUGCCAUACUACUUAGUGAAUAAAAACAAAUGGACUAUCAAGUCACACAAAUAUAUGGAUGAAUACUAUAUACAUAUUGCUAAGUUAAAGAAGCUAGUCUGAAUAGGUUACACCUGUAUGAUUUUAUUUAUAUGACCUUUUGGAAAGGGAAAAACUGUAGGGAGUGUACAGGUCAGUGAUUGCCAGGAGUUGGGGUCAGAAGCUAACUAAAUGAGUGAAGGAAGCAUAAGGCAUUUUUUAGCACAGCAAAACUAUUCUGUAAGACAUGGUGGUAGUAGAUAAAUAAAUUUAUGCAUUUAUCAAAACAAAUAGAACUUUAUAGCACAAAGUAAACUUAAUGUACAUAACUUAAAAAAAAUAAUUUAGGAGGUUAGAGAAUCCCAGGAUGGAUGCAGAAUGUGAUAAAGAAUCUAACUGUGUUACAAAUGUAUGAAGCAACCUCCACCUUAGGGAAGUGGUAGAGAGGGGGAAGGUACUGACCUAAGUAACUUCAGAAAUGAAUCUGUAAGACUAAAGGCAAAAAGUCCUGUACUUUAGUACUGUACUCUAGUUAACAGUAUUAUUUCCCUGUGUUAAUAACUCUAAAUCCCCUAUACAUGGGAUUGAACAGGUAAGUCAGUUAUUGGUGGGUGGUGGGAACCAAUUGUCUCACUCUUGGACUGGGCAGUUACAGAUAAGAAAAAGAAGAAGGCUAGAAUAAUCCAUGUAGAAAUUGAUUCAAAUUGGAGACUUCAGUAUGAGCUCAUGGUUAGGUUAAUAUGGAUAUGGACAAGUUCACGUAAAAUGUAUCAUAUAUACACUCACACACACACAUAUAUAUGGCUAAGUGUAUACACAUAUAUUUCCUUUCUCUGUCAUCUGAGAAAACCUACAAGCAAUAUACUCCAGUAGAAACCAGCACACAAAGUGCCACGAUUUUGGUUUCUAAUACUGUCCUCCAAUUGAAGGAAUCAGGGCUAUUUGGACAAAUUUCAUGGGGGCAGGAAAUAUACUUGAUCAACCUAGAAUAUCUUGUGUCAGAAAGUAAGUAAGUGCUAGAACAAACAAACCAAUAAACAAAAAACAAACAUAAGGAGGAGGGAAUGUCAAAGGAAUGUUAAAAACCAACUGAAAGAGUUCCCAGUGGCCCAAGGUGGAAAAAUUGGGGCAAGAAAGUAAGUAUUGAGUUACAACUCAAAGAAUAAAUAAGUCCAUAUUGAUAUAAAUAAAUAAAUAAGCAAAAGAGAAUAAAUAAGCAAAAGAAUAGACAAAUUUCCCAUGUAGAUGAAUUUCAAAUAAUUUAUGUAAAUGCUUUGUUCUCAAGGAAUUAGAGUGUAACUCUCCUUUUACUUAAGUGUAGACUGCACACAUAGUGAUUAGUUUUCAGGAAGUACAGGAUGGAAAAGGGGGAUGUAAAAAGUAGCUAAAAAAUCCCACUGAGGAGCAUUUGAUGAACCUUCUGGCUAGUUAUUCUCAACAUUUUGAAGGUCUUCAAAAACUAGGAUUAUUGGAGAAACUGUCACAGAAAGAGGAGACUAAGGAUACAUAAAUAAAUGCAAUACAUUUUCCUGGAUAGGAUUCUUCAAAAGAAAAAAAAAAAACACACAUUAUCUGAAAACUAAGGCAAUCUGAAUAAAGUAUGUACUUAAGUAAAAAUAAAAUGUCGAUAUUGGUCCAUUAUUUGUGACAAAUGUACCAUACUAAUAGAAAAUGUUCAUAAAAGGGGAAACUGGUUAUGGGUUUAUGGAAACAAAAUGGGCAAAGUGUAACUUCCUAAAUGCUUCCUCUGGACAAAAUAUGACUAAGGCCUAAAAUAAGACAGUAGNNNNNNNNNNNNNNNNNNNNNNNNNNNNNNNNNNNNUUCAAAUGUUUUUGGCAGUAAAAUAUAUAGAACUUGGUAAACUGUUAAAUAUUUUGUGUUAGAGGAAAUAGUUAAUGUUCUCAAUUUGCUUAUGCAGACGAUAAUAUUGCCAUUUAGUUGAAUGUUGAAUAAAGUAGGAGGUGCAUAGUGGGGAAAUACUGAACUCAAGAAUGCACAUACUGAGCUUCAGAUAUCUGUGACACAGGCAGAUGGAAAUGUUUAAAGUUUAAGAUAAAUGAGUAAUUACUUUGUGGCACAGUGGGUUAAGGAUUCAGAAUUGUUACUGCUGUGAUUGGGGUCACUCCUGUGGCGUGGGUUUGAUCCCUCACCCAGGAACUUCUACAUGCCAUGGGCAUGGCCAAAAAAAAAAAAAAAAAGAGAGAUGUUCAUUAUUACAUGAAUGAAUUUGAAGCUCUGGGAAAGAAAAUAAUCACCCAGAGAUUAUGUAGAUAUUUAUGAGUCAUAAAACAAGAAGAAAAUUCCGAGAAGCAUGUGCUUUUUUAAGUGGCAAGAGAAAGUAUAGGUUGAAAAGAUUGGACUGUGAUUUGGGGGAAAACUCAAGGAAAGCAUGGUUAACAGAAUAGAUUCAGAAAGGGAGUGGUCACCAGUGGCAAUGCUGUAGGAAAGUUACAUGAGAUUGGUAUUAAGAGCUUUACUUUUAAAUUCUAAUGAUACUUACCUUUAAUGAAGUAGUGGGAACAUCUGUCUUAUGAACUGAUUAGUAGAGAGGAAAAUUAGACAAUAACUAUAAAUUUUGUUUUCUGGGCAGUUGAGCCGUGGGAGAAAAAGAGGAAAAAAAAGACAGGUAACUUGGAAAAGAGAAAUUCAGGAAGGAGUAAAUUAAAUGUGUACAUUUCUGGAUGUGUGUUUUAAGGCUAGAGAAAUUGUUUAUAGAAAUCCAAUCCAUGGAGUUCCCAUCGUGGCACAGUGGUUAACGAAUCCGACUAGGAACCAUGAGGUUGCGGGUUCGAUCCCUGCCCUUGUUCAGUGGGUUAACAAUCCGGCCUUGCCUGUGAGCUGUGGUGUAGGUCGCAGACACUGCUCGGAUCCCGCGUUGCUGUGGCUCUGGCAUAGGCCAGCAGCUACAGCUCCUAUUAGACCCCUAGCCUGGGAAUCUCCAUAU
rnacentral:lncRNA from 1 species